rnacentral:rRNA from 1 species
UACGUAGGGUGCAAGCGUUAAUCGGAAUUACUGGGCGUAAAGCGUGCGCAGGCGGUUAUGUAAGACAGAUGUGAAAUCCCCGGGCUACAACCUGGGAACUGCAUUGUGACUGCAUAGCUAGAGUACGGUAGAGGGGGAUGGAAUUCCGCGUGUAGCAGUGAAAUGCGUAGAUAUGCGGAGGAACACCGAUGGCGGAAGGCAAUCCCCUGGACCUGUAC